rnacentral:lncRNA from 1 species
CUUUAUUUUACAUUUUAAUAUUUUAUGAUGUAUUUAAAUGAGUAGUUAUUGUUGCAAACUCCAUUAGAAAUUUGAAUUGAUAUCAGUUUUGGAAAAAGGGAAAGGGGGAUGUGAAAAAAAAGGGGGGGGGGGUUUAAAUUUUUCUCAUUUCAGAUUUCAUAAAUAAAAAGAAAAUUUCUUCAAACAUUUUUUUGAGAGGAUUAAUAUUCAACAGCAUAGUGAAUUGCUCAAAGGCAAAAAAAAUUUUAAGUUCAUUAGACCACAUUCAUUCUGUGUCAGAAACCUAUGCUGUGUCAACUAUUUAAUUUUAGAUUUAAAAAGUUUGAAGAAAUCUUUAAUUGAUUUGUAAAAUCUUGACAUUUGUUUUGUGUAAAAAAAAAACCAUGUAAUGUCAAAAAUUUGAUCACAAUCCAAAUUCAGAGCUGUAUCACGCUUGAAUGUUUUGUCCAUACUUGCCCCAACU